rnacentral:misc_RNA from 1 species
UCAGCCACUUUUUAAAAGAAAAG